AGACGUGGCCGACGCGGGUCAAAGUGUAGUAUCUGUUCUUAUCAGCUUAAUAUCUGAUACGAGUUUAUUUGCACCCAAUAGUUAAACUUAUUUUUGCAAGUUGGCGGAGUGCUUGAAGCGUUCAUCUCCGCCGCGGGUCGGCCCGGUAUUGCACUAUCGUUUAGAGUAUUGGUCCACCGACA